GGCCUCGUGGCGCAGCGGAUUAGCGCGUCUCCCUCCUAAGGAGAAGGUCGUCAGUUCGAAUCUGACCUGGGUCG